GAUAAACGCUGGCGGCGUGCAUGAGACAUGCAAGUCGAACGAAGGAUCGGGCUUGCUCGAUCCUUAGUGGCGGACGGCUGAGUAACGCGUAGGUGACCUACCCCGAAGUGGGGAAUAACUGCCCGAAAGGGUGGCUAAUACCGCAUGUGGUCGCACGUUCAUUCGUGCGAGUAAAGCCGCAAGGCGCUUAGGGAGGGGCCUGCGUCCGAUUAGCUCGUUGGUGGGGUAAUGGCUUACCAAGGCGACGAUCGGUAGGUGGUCUGAGAGGACGAUCACCCAGACUGGGACUGAGACACGGCCCAGACUCCUACGGGAGGCAGCAGUCGGGAAUUUUGCUCAAUGGGGGAAACCCUGAAGCAGCAACGCCGCGUGAGGGAUGAAGGCCUUCGGGUUGUAAACCUCUUUUGUCAGGGACGAUGAUGACGGUACCUGGCGAAUAAGCCACGGCUAACUACGUG
rnacentral:rRNA from 1 species